GACGAACGCUGGCGGCGUGCCUAAUACAUGCAAGUCGAGCGAAGCGGGGACGGGUGCGGAACACUUGGAUACCCUCCGAUACGUCUGGGAUAACUUCGGGAAACCGGAGCUAAAGCGGCUACUCAUAGAUCGCUCAGCGGUGCAUUAGCUAGUUGGUAAGGUAACGGCUUACAAAGGCAACGACGCAUAGCCGACCUGAGAGGGUGAUCGGCCACACUGGAACUGAGACACGGUCCAGACGCCUACGGGAGGCAGCAGUAGGGAAUCUUCCGCAAUGGGCGAAAGCCUGACGGAGCAACGCCGCGUGAGUGAAGAAGGUUUUCGGAUCGUAAAACUCUGUUGUUAGGGAAGCGGUACCUAAUCAGAAAGCCACGGCUAACUACGUGCCAGCCGCCGCGGUAAUAC
rnacentral:rRNA from 1 species